rnacentral:ncRNA from 1 species
GGGCUCGCCCGCAUUGCUGCUCCUGGCCGCGCGCACAGGUCUCACCCGCCAGGACCGCCCCAUGGGCCGCAUUUCCCCGUGGCGCCUCGCCCUGGCUGGCGCCUAGCAGCGAACUUCCAGCUGGUGCUGACCAGGGGAAUCUGAAUGUUUAAUUCAAACAAAGUAUCGCGAAGGCCCGCGGCGGGCGUUGCUGCGACGUGAUUUCUGCCCAGUGCUCUGCAUGUCAAAGUGAAGAAAUUCAAUGAACCGCGGGUAAAUGGCGGCAGUAACUAUGACUCUCUUAAGGUAGCCAAAUGUCUCGUCAUCUAAUUAGUGACGCGCAUGAAUGGAUGAACGAGAUUCUCACUGUCCCUACCUCCUAUCCACCCAAACCACAGCCAAGGGAUCGGGCUUGGCGGAAUCAGCGGGGAAAGACGACCCUGUUGAGCUUGACUCUAGUCUGGCACGGUGAGGAGACAUGAGAGGUGUAGAAUAAGUGGGAGGCCCCCGGCGCCCAUUCCCUGAGUCCCCGCCAGGGGGCGUGGAGGAGGCAUGAGGGCCUUGCAGGACGCAGGUGAAAUACCACUACUCUGAUCGUUUUUUUUUUCACUCACCCGCUGAGGCCGGGCGGGGGUGGGGGUG